rnacentral:rRNA from 1 species
AUUGAACGCUGGCGGCAGGCUUAACACAUGCAAGUCGAGCGGGGUGAUGGUGCUUGCACUAUCACUUAGCGGCGGACGGGUGAGUAAUGCUUAGGAAUCUGCCUAUUAGUGGGGGACAACAUCUCGAAAGGGAUGCUAAUACCGCAUACGUCCUACGGGAGAAAGCAGGGGAUCACUUGUGACCUUGCGCUAAUAGAUGAGCCUAAGUCGGAUUAGCUAGUUGGCGGGGUAAAAGCCCACCAAGGCGACGAUCUGUAGCUGGUCUGAGAGGACGAUCAGCCACACUGGAACUGGGACACGGUCCAGACUCCUACGGGAGGCAGCAGUGGGGAAUUUUGGACAAUGGGGGCAACCCUGAUCCAGCCAUGCCGCGUGAGUGAAGAAGGCCUUCGGGUUGUAAAGCUCUUUCGGCGGGGACGAAACGGUUUGCGCCAACACCGCAAACUAAUGACGGUACUCGCAGAAGAAGCACCGGCUAACUACGUGCCAGCCGCCGCGGUAA